rnacentral:rRNA from 1 species
ACCCGCUGAACUUAAGCACAUCAAUAAGCGGAGGAAAAGAAACCAACAGGGAUUGCCCUAGUAACGGCGAGUGAAGCGGCAUCAGCUCAAAUUUGAAAUCUGGCUCUUUUAGGGUCCGAGUUGUAAUUUGCAGAGGGCGCUUUGGCAUAGGCAGCGAUUCAAGUUCCUUGGAACAGGACGUCACAGAGGGUGAGAAUCCCGUACGUGGUCGCUAGCUCUUGCCGUGUAAAGCCCCUUCGACGAGUCGAGUUGUUUGGGAAUGCAGCUCUAAAUGGGAGGUAAAUUUCUUCUAAAGCUAAAUAUUGGCCAGAGACCGAUAGCGCACAAGUAGAGUGAUCGAAAGAUGAAAAGUACUUUGGAAAGAGAGUCAAAAAGCACGUGAAAUUGUUGAAAGGGAAGCGCUUGCAGCCAGACUUGCCUGUAGUUGCUCAUCCGGGCUCUUGCCCGGUGCACUCUUCUGUAGGCAGGCCAGCAUCAGUUUGGGCGGUUGGAUAAAGGUCUCUGUCAUGUACCUCUCUUCGGGGAGGCCUUAUAGGGGAGGCGACAUACAACCAGCCUGGACUGAGGUCCGCGCAUUCGUGCUAGGAUGCUGGCGUAAUGGCUGU